rnacentral:rRNA from 1 species
AGGACGAACGCUUGCGGCGUGCCUAAGAAAUGCAAGUCGAGCGGAAGUAGCAAUACUUUAGCGGCGAACGGUCGCGUAACACGUAGCCAACCUGCCCAGAAGACCGGGACAACACUCCGAAAGGGGUGCUAAUACCGGAUGUGCCCAUUUUGCCACAUGGCUUAAUGAGUAAAUCAUUUAUGGCUUCUGGAGGGGGCUGCGGCCUAUCAGCUAGAUGGUGGGGUAAUGGCCUACCAUGGCGUCGACGGGUAGCUGGUCUGAGAGGAUGGUCAGCCGGACUGGGACUGAGACACGGCCCAGACUCCUACGGGAGGCAGCAGUGGGGAAUAUUGCACAAUGGGCGAAAGCCUGAUGCAGCGACGCCGCGUGAGGGAUGAAGGCCUUCGGGUUGUAAACCUCUUUCAGCAGGGACGAAGCGAAAGUGACGGUACCUGCAGAAGAAGCACCGGCCAACUACGCGCCAGCAGCCGCGGU